UGCGGGAGGCGACGACUGGAAGCAGGUCUUUUCACCCUCCGGAGAGGCCUUGCAGUUCUGCCACUGUGUCGCUCAGAGCACUGGCUGGAGCUUUUUAUAGAGGCAGUAGCAAGGUAUUGCCCACAUAUGUGUAGUGAGCUGGCCAACCAGGGCCAGGAAGAACUUGUGAAGAAGCCAAGAUUAUACCUAUCUUUGUUACAUAUUUCAUUUGAGGGAUUAAUGCUUAUUGUACUUUCAAAAUAAAAUUUUUUGUAUUUCGGGAA